UUUCUUGUGCAUGCAGUAGGAGACUAGACAUACUAGGAGCAAUAAAAAUACACAACCUCUUGUUGAAGGCUUAAGUGAGACAAGGGGAAGAAGGAGAGCCAGACGCCCAUCUAGAGAUUUGUUUCCUUCUCCUGACAGAUUACUAUCACCUUCACCAGUUCGAAGAGCAGAAGAGAUGGAUGAACAAACUCCUCCAAGACGCACUCCAAGAUGGCAGACCAAUCUAAUGUUGUUGGCCCUUUCC
rnacentral:lncRNA from 1 species